rfam:Cryptococcus neoformans var. neoformans JEC21 chromosome 9 sequence.
GGGGGUGUAGCUCAUUUGGCAGAGCGCGUCAUUAGCAUCUUCUAAACAAAAGGUUCUUGACGAGGUACUGGGUUCAAUUCCCAGCUCCUCCA